UACCAGCACCCCGAGUGGUCGGGACGAUUAUUGGGCCUAAAGCAUCCGUAGCCGGUUCUACAAGUCUUCCGUUAAAUCCACCUGCUUAACAGAUGGGCUGCGGAGGAUACUAUAGAGCUAGGAGGCGGGAGAGGCAAGCGGUACUUAGUGGGUAGGGGUAAAAUCCGUUGAUCCAUUGAAGACCACCAGUGGCGAAGGCGGCUUGCCAGAACGCACUCGACGGUGAGGGAUGAAAGCUAGGGGAGCGAAUGGG
rnacentral:rRNA from 1 species